AAAAGAAACCAACGGGGAUUCCCAUAGUAACUGCGAGUGAAAUGGGAAGAGCCCA
rnacentral:rRNA from 1 species